rnacentral:rRNA from 1 species
CCUACGGGAGGCAGCAGUGAGGAAUAUUUGUCAAUGGCCGGAAGGCUGAACCAGCCAUGCCGCGUGAAGGUCAGUGCCCUAUGGGCGUUAAACUUCUUUUGUGCGGGAGCAAUAAUGGUCACGUGUGGCCAGACGAGAGUACCGUACGAAUAAGCAUCGCCUAACUCCGUGCAAGCAGCCGCGGUAAUACGGGGGAUGCAAGCGUUAUCCGGUUUAAUUGGGUUUAAAGGGUGCGUAGGCUGUGAGAUCAGUCAGCGGUGAAAUGCCGCCGCUCAACGGGGUGAAGUGCCAUUGAUACUGCCUUGCUGGAAUGCGGAUGCCGUGGGAGGAAUGUGUGGUGUAGCGGUGAAAUGCAUAGAUAUCACACAGAACACCGAUUGCGAAGGCAUCUCACGAAGCCGCGAUUGACGCUGAUGCACGAAAGCGUGGGGAUCAAACAGGAUUAGAUACCCGGGUAGUC